rnacentral:lncRNA from 1 species
GGACCCAGGGGAGAUCACAGGUGGAUCCAGGAGGGAUCACAGGCGGAUCCAGAGGGGAGCACAGGUGGAUCCAGGAGGAAUCACAGGUGGAUCUAGGAGGGAUCACAGGUGGAUCCAGGAGGGAUCACAGGUGGAUCCAGGGCAGGGAUCACAGGUGGAUCCAGAGGGAUCACAGGUGGAUCCAGAGGGGAUCACAGGUGGAUCCAGGGGAGAUCACAGGUGGAUCCAGGGCAGGGAUCACAGGUGGAUCCAGAGGGAAUCACAGGUGGAUCCAGGGCAGGGAUCACAGGUGGAUCCAGGAGGGAUCACAGGCGGAUCCAGGAGGAAUCACAGGUGGAUCCAGAGGGGAUCACAGGUGGAUCCAGGAGGGAUCACAGGUGGAUCCAGGGGGGAUCACAGGUGGAUCCAGGAGGAAUCACAGGUGGAUCCAGGGCAGGGAUCACAGGUGGAUCCAGGAGGAAUCACAGGUGGAUCCCGAGGGGAUCACAGGUGGAUCCAGGAGGGAUCACAGGUGGAUCCAGGGGGGAUCACAGGUGGAUCCAGGAGGAAUCACAGGUGGAUCCAGGGCAGGCAUCACAGGUGGAUCCAGGAGGGAUCACAGGUGGAUCCAGGGGAGAUCACAGGUGGAUCCAGGGCAGGGAUCACAGGUGGAUCCAGGGCAGGAAUCACAGGUGGAUCCAGGAGGGAUCACAGGUGGAUCCAGAGGGGAUCACAGGUGGAUCCAGGAGGGAUCACAGGCGGAUCCAGGGCAGGGAUCACAGGCGGAUCCAGGGCAGGGAUCACAGGUGGAUCCAGGGCAGGGAUCACAGGUGGAUCCAGGAGGAAUCACAGGUGGAUCCAGGGCAGGGAUCACAGGUGGAUCCAGAGGGGAUCACAGGUGGAUCCAGGAGGGAUCACAGGUGGAUCCAGGGCAGGGAUCACAGGUGGAUCCAGAGGGGAUCACAGGUGGAUCCAGUGGGGGAUCACAGGUGGAUCCAGAGGGGAUCACAGGCGGAUCCAGGGCAGGGAUCACAGGUGGAUCCAGGGGGGAUCACAGGUGGAUCCAGCACAGGGAUCACAGGUGGAUCCAGAGGGGAUCACAGGCGGAUCCAGAGGGGAUCACAGGAGGAUCCAGGGGGUAUCACAGGUGGAUCCAGAGGGAAUCACAGGUGGAUCCAGGGCAGGAAUCACAGGUGGAUCCAGAGGGGAUCACAGGUGGAUCCAGGGGAGAUCGCAGGUGGAUCCAGGGCAGGGAUCACAGGUGGAUCCAGGGCAGGGAUCACAGGUGGAUCCAGGGGGGGUCACAGGUGGAUCCAGAGGGGAUCACAGGUGGAUUCAGCUGGGGAUCACUCCAGCAGGUGCCUGCAGCUCCAAACCCACCCCUGCCAGGGCUGGAGAGCUCAUUCCCAGC